rnacentral:lncRNA from 1 species
UGGUUUUUCCCCCAUCUCAGAAUUGAACAAAUGUACAAUCGGGUUUUAUACCGAGACAUUUAUUUCCCAGGGUCAGGCAGGAGACAGUGGCCUUCUUCUCUCUCAACUGCAAGAGGCUUUCCUCUUUGACUAAUCCACCUCAGCACAGACCCUUUCGGGUGUCGGGCUCGUGGACGGUCAGGUCUUUCUCAUCCCACGAGGCCACAUUUCAGACUAUCACAUGGGGAGAAACCUUGGACAAUACGCUGCUUUCAAGGGCAGGGCUCCCUGUGGCUUUCCACAGUGUAUUGUGCCCCUGGGUUAUUGAGACUAGAGAAUGGCGAUGACUUUUACCAAGUAUACUGCUUGGAAACAUCUUGUUAACAAGGCACGUCCUGCACAGCCCUAGAUCCCUUAAACCUUGAUUUCAUACAACACAUGUUUUUGUGAGCUUCAGGUUGGGUCAAAGUGGCUGGGGCAAAGCUACACAUUAACAACAUCUCAGCAAAGCAAUGGUUGAAAGUACAGGUCUUUCUCAAAUUGGAGUCUCUUAUGUCUUUCCUUUCUACAUAGACACAGUAAGAGUCUGAUCUCUCUUUCUUUUGCCUACACUCACUGAACUGCCCUUCCCCUCUCCUGGGCCAUGACCACAGAGAACAGGUCCACUGUCCUCCCUGCGUGGUGCACCAUGGAUGCUCAGACUCCAUCCUCAAGGCUGGCAAGAAGACAGGGUGAGACAUGAGGCUCCUGAUACAGGUGACGGCUGUGGAGCCCACAGGACUGCAACCUCACACUGCAGGGCUGGAGGCACAGACUGAGUAUUUACUGUUCUGUGGCCUGGGGGGCUCAAGGCACAGAGCUCCUCAUUAGCCAAAAUCACCCAAGUUCCCCAACCUCUAAGGAUUUCCUCAUCACCAUGCAAGAACAAGAAGAGAAAAUGAUUGUCCAUAGAAGCUUUGGGACUCUUCCUCUAAUCAGGAGAAAGCUGGUCUCUCAUUCCACAUAACGAGAAACGCCCACAGGUGUGGAGGGGCAACCCACCCCUUCAGUCAGGAACCUCAGAAUGUGACAUUUGGAAAUUGGGUGGUUGCAGAUGUAACAAAUUAACUUGGCGACAUACUGGAGUAAGGUGGGCCCUUCACACCAUAUGACUGGUAUCCUUAUAAGAAGAAAAGAAGAGACACAGAGGGAAGACAGCCGUGUGCAGCUGGAAUGAUGCACCUGAAGCCAAGGAAUGCUGCGCAUUGCCGGCCACCACCCAAAACUGGAAAAAGUCAGGCAGGAUUCUUCCCUAGAAUCUUCAAAGGCAGCACAGCCCUGCCAACACCUGGAUUCAGACUAUGGCCUCCAGAACUGUGAGAGGAUGAAUUUCUGUUGUUUUCAGCCACCCAAGCUUAGGGAAUGGGUUGCAGCAGACUGGGAAUAAGACAGGCAGCCAGGCAGCCUCCGUGGAAUUCCCAGGCAGCUUGCAGGAGCCACAGUGGGCCCUGGGCUCUGAGAAGGUCUGAGGCCCAGCAGGCGCAGGGGCCUAAAUUAUUUCUCGGCAAGGAGGAAGGAAGGUUCAUCAAGAACAUAGAUCCCCUUCCUCCUUCUCACACCUCACGAGGUCACAGCGACGUGGCUGGGAGGAGAGCCAGUGACUUUUCACUGAGGUGUGUGGGAGACAGCUUGGCCGCCCUUGGCCUCUGAAGGGAGGAGGUGGCGUGAAGGAGGGCAGCUUUGGAACUUCCCAGUUCCUGCUUGAUGACCUGUGUGUAAAGUAUUCCUGUUUAGGUUUCAAAAUCCUCUCAGAAACAUAAUUCUCAGAAAAUCUAGGCACCCAAUCCAGCUCCCUGGCCUUCUCUGAAAUCUGAAGUCAAAGGGGCUGAGCCAGCCUGCCCUGGGUGUCAGGCCUCUGAGCUCAAGCUAAGCCAUCAUAUCCCCUGUGACCUGCAGGUACACAUCCAGAUGGCCCGUUCCUGCCUUAACUGACGACAUUCCACCACAAAAGAAGUGAAAAUGGUCUGUUCCUGCCUUAACUGAUGACAUUGUCUUGUGAAAUUCCUUCUCCUGGCUCAUCCUGGCUCAAAACCUCCCCCACUGAGUAGCUUGUGACCCCCACUCUGCCUGCCAGAGAACAACCCUCCUUUGACUGUAAUUUUCCUUUACCUACCCAAAUCCUAUAAAACGGCCCCACCCCAUCUCCCUUUGCUGACCCUCUUUUCAGACUCAGCCCACCUGCACCCAGGUGAAAUAAACAGCCAUGUUGCUCACAC